ensembl:rRNA 5S_rRNA 5S ribosomal RNA
GUCUAUGGCCAUAGUACUAUGAACAUGCCCGAUUUCAUCUGUUUGAGGAAGCUAAGCAAGGUCGGGCCUGGUUAGUACUCAGACAGAAGGUACUGUAUACC